rnacentral:lncRNA from 1 species
GCCUUGGGAAGAAGACUCCCAGCCUGAGGGUCUUGUUGAGAGUUUUAAUGUCCCCUUUAGGGACAUCUUUGCUUUUCUUUCUUUCAGAAGAGGAAUCAAUUCUGGACCAGAGGAUGUCUCCCUGCCUUUGCCCUGCCUGCCUCCCCCCACAUCCUUCUCUGGCAAGGGGAAUGAGGCUGAGAAUGACCUCCAUCCGCAGGACGAGAUUCUCUAGGAAACAAGAAAUCAAAUCUCCGGGGACUAUCCAGGUGGGAAAUGGAAAUAAAUGAUAAACAUACGAAUACAUCGAUUCUGUUUCCUAUUGGUUG